rnacentral:rRNA from 1 species
CGGAGGGUGCAAGCGUUAUCCGGAUUCACUGGGUUUAAAGGGAGCGCGAGGCGGACUGGUAAGUCAGUGGUGAAAUACCUGAGCUUAACUCGGGAACUGCCAUUGAUACUAUCAGUCUUGAAUGUUGUUGAGGUUUGCGGAAUGCGUCAUGUAGCGGUGAAAUGCAUAGAUAUGACCCGGAACACCUAUUGCGAAGGCAGCAGGCUAAACAAAUAUUGACGCUGAGGCUCGAAAGCGUGGGGAUCAAACAGGAUUAGAUACCCUGGUAGUCCACGCCCUAAACGAUGAUUACUCGACAUACGCGAUACACUGUGUGUGUCUGAGCGAAAGCAUUAAGUAAUCCACCUGGGAAGUACGACCGCAAGGUUG